CGAGCCACUCCUGGCCCCGCAAGGACGUUGCUUCACCUUGACAGGAGUCUUCCGACACGCAUCAUGACUGGAGGGGCCAGUUUCUGCAGGCUGUGCAGGAGGCAUUGGAAAGGGAACGGGAGGUGAUGAAGGCGGAACUGCAGUCAGGUUCCAGUGACCCAGACCUGGGGACUGCAGCUUCCUGUUCGAGCGGCUGGAGAAGGUUGUGCAAGAGCAGGGAGACCUGCAGGAGAAGGCUCAGCAGCACCAGCGCCUGCAGGACAGGAGCAGCCUGCUGUCUGAGGUCCAGGCCCUACGUGCCCAGCUGCGUCUUACGCACCUGCAGAACCAGGAGAAAGCUGCAGCAGCUGUGGUGCAGCACUGACCAGCGCAGAGGCCCGCGGGAGCCAGCGGGAGCACCAGCUGCGCAGGCAGGUUGA
rnacentral:lncRNA from 1 species